rnacentral:lncRNA from 10 species
AGCGAGGUCGGAGGUCAGCCCCAGGGCAUCACGGGAAGGGAAGGUGGAAGUACUCGCCGGGGCCACCUGCGGCUGCGGGGCUGCCUCGUGCGGAGGGAUCUGGGCGAAGGCGGCGCGUGAUUGGCCGCUCUGUGUUCGUGACGCUCAUCCGUGAUGCUUCCGCGUGUCGGAGGACCAGGUGCCACCUCAAGAGAGAGGCCGUGGGCGGCGAGCCGCGGGCGUUUACUCUUAGCAGAAGCUCACCUGUAAGUUUUGAGAACUUAGAAACCGAUGCCUUCCCUCUCAUCAGUCGUGAGGCGCAGUCUCCUGGCCGCUGGGUUCGUUCCUCCUUGACAUCUCUGGAGACGCAUCGAGGAGCUAUUGUUCUCUGGCGUCGGAGGUUGCGCUGUGUCCGCGGCGUUGAGGGCCCCUUGCUAACUGGAACACGGGGAAGGCGGCCCUGUGAGGUUUAGUGAACUCAAUCAAAGAGGUCCUGCAAGUGGAGUAGACUCCCUGAAGUAAGACUGCCAUCUGGACCGCCGAGUAAUGGCGGUGUUACCUGGAGAACGUGAAACAGUCUCUAAACACUUACUAGAAGAGCACGUAAUUCUUUUGAUUGGUCUGUCCUUAGCCGGCUUUAUCAAACCUGUUCAUCCCCAAAGGAGUGUCUUGUAGUAAGGUGAUUUAUUAGGAUAAGAUUAAAGUACAUUCCAGAUGGUCGUAGUAUAUUUCCAGUGAAUCAGAUCGGUCUGGAGAAAAUCUUUGCAACUCGUAUCACAAGAGCUCUCAAAAAUUGAAAACAAAAAGUGCAAAAGCCAAAGGAGAAAAUGGGGAAGGACAUGAACAGAUGAUUCUCAGAAAAAAUACCGUAAUGGUCUUUAAACAUAGAAAGUCGCUCCACCUCACUUACAAUGGAAAUACACGUUGAAAUUACCUUUCCUGGUGGGAGUGGAAAAAUGGUUCAAGUUCCACGGAGUACAAAAUUACUUGUGUUUAUUCUUAUACCUUGCAGUUAUACUUCUAACCCUAACCUUAUUCUGAAGGUGCAGCUCCACACAUGGAAACAAUAGGUAUACAAGGUUAUUGCAGUGCUAUUUGUCAUAGCAAAAGUUAGGGAUAACCCAAAUAUCCGUUAAUAGGGAACUGAUUGGGAAUGGUGCAUCCAUACAGUAGAACACAAUGCAACCAUUAAAAAGAUUCAGGAAAUAAUCGUGUGUUGCUUUGGAAUGAGUCUCAGGUUGUAUUAAGUAUUCACUUAAAUAUUUAAGUGUAGUAAGUAUUCACUGUAUUCAAAAGCAAAAAUAAGCAUAUAUGCUUUUAUGUAUUUACUUAAAUACAUAAAAAUAUAUAUUUAUAUUUAAUAUGAAUAUUUAUGUGUAUAUGCUUAUUUUCGGGGAGGAAUUGGAAGGAUAUCCUGGAAACUUAACAUUUUUAGUUGCCUAUAAAGAGUGGGGGGUGGAGACAAGAUUUCUCUGUCUUUGAACUUUUAGUUUUACAUAGCCAAAAAAGUAAAUAAAAAAGGAAACAAAGUAAAUCCUAAGGUUGAAAGCAAAUUGAAACAAAUGAACUUAACUGUUAACUAAUAUAACUAAGAUACACAGAAAAAA